rnacentral:rRNA from 1 species
GACGAACGCUGGCGGCGUGCUUAACACAUGCAAGUCGAACGGAAAGGCCCUGCUUUUGUCGGGUGCUCGAGUGGCGAACGGGUGAGUAACACGUGAGUAACCUGCCCUUGACUUUGGGAUAACUUCAGGAAACUGGGGCUAAUACCGGAUAGGAGCUCCUGCUGCAUGGUGGGGGUUGGACAGUUUCGGCGGUUGGGGAUGGACUCGCGGCUUAUCAGCUGGUUGGUGGGGUAGUGGCUUAACAAGGCUUUGACGGGUAGCCGGCCUGAGAGGGUGACCGGCCACAUUGGGACUGAGAUACGGCACAGACUCGUACGGGAGGCAGCAGUGGGGAAUAUUGCACAAUGGGCGGAAGCCUGAUGCAGCAACGCCGCGUGCGGGAUGACGGCCUUCGGGUUGUAAACCGCUUUCGCCUGUGACGAAGCGUGAGUGACGGUAAUGGGUAAAGAAGCACCGGCUAACUACGUG